rnacentral:rRNA from 1 species
GGGGAAUAUUGCGCAAUGGGGGAAACCCUGACGCAGCAAUACCGCGUGAGUGAAGAAGGUUUUCGGAUCGGAAAGCCCUGUUAUUGGGGAAGAAAAAAAGACGGUACCCAAAAAAAAAAGCCCGGGUAACUACGUGCCAGCAGCCGCGGUAAUACGUAGGGGACAAGCGUUGUCCGGAUUUACUGGGCGUAAAGGGCACGCAGGCGGUUUUUUAAGUCAGAUGUGAAAGGUACCGGCUCAACCGGUGACAUGCAUUUGAAACUGAAAGACUUGAGUAUUGGAGAGGCAAGUGGAAUUCCUAGUGUAGCGGUGAAAUGCGUAGAUAUUAGGAGGAACACCAAUGGCGAAGGCAGCUCGCUGGGACGUUACUGACGCUGAGACGCGAAAGCGUGGGGAGCAAACA